rnacentral:rRNA from 1 species
GACGGAAGGUGCAAGCGUUGCUCGGAAUCACUGGGCGUAAAGGGUGCGUAGGCGGCUUGGUGGGUCUGGUGUGAAAGCCCCGGGCUCAGCCCGGGAAGGGCGCUAGAAACUGCCGAGCUCGAGUGCCGGAGGGGAGAGUGGAAUUCCUGGUGUAGCGGUGAAAUGCGUAGAUAUCUGGAGGAAUACCGGUGGCGAAGGCGGCAUCCUGGACCGACACUGACACUGAGGAGCGAAAGCCAGGGGAGCAAACGGG